CCUACGGGAGGCUGCAGUGGGGAAUAUUGCACAAUGGGGGGAACCCUGAUGCAGCGACGCCGCGUGAGUGAAGAAGUAUUUCGGUAUGUAAAGCUCUAUCAGCAGGGAAGAAAAUGACGGUACCUGACUAAGAAGCCCCGGCUAACUACGUGCCAGCAGCCGCGGUAAUACGUAGGGGGCAAGCGUUAUCCGGAUUUACUGGGUGUAAAGGGGGCGCAGACGGCUGUGCAAGGCUGGAGUGAAAGGCGGGGGCCCAACCCCCGGACUGCUCUGGAAACUGUAAAGCUGGAGUGCAGGAGAGGUAAGCGGAAUUCCUAGUGUAGCGGUGAAAUGCGUAGAUAUUAGGAGGAACACCAGUGGCGAAGGCGGCUUACUGGACUGCAACUGACGUUGAGGCUCGAAAGCGUGGGGAGCAAACAGGAUUAGAUACCCGAGUAGUC
rnacentral:rRNA from 1 species